rnacentral:rRNA from 1 species
UACGUAGGGCGCAAGCGUUGUCCGGAAUUAUUGGGCGUAAAGAGCUCGUAGGUGGCUUGUCGCGUCUGCCGUGAAAGCCCAUGGCUUAACUAUGGGUCUGCGGUGGAUACGGGCAGGCUAGAGGCUGGUAGGGGCAAGCGGAAUUCCCAGUGUAGCGGUGAAAUGCGCAGAUAUUGGGAAGAACACCAGUGGCGAAGGCGGUUCUCUGGGACGGUACUGACGCUGAGACGCGAAAGCGUGGGGAGCGAACAGG